CCUACGGGUGGCUGCAGUUUCGAAUCAUUCACAAUGGGCGAAAGCCUGAUGGUGCGACGCCGCGUGAGGGAUGAAGGUCUUCGGAUCGUAAACCUCUGUCACUGGGGAAGAAACGCUAUGCGUAAACAGCGCGUAGCCUGACUUAACCCGGAGAGGAAGCAGUGGCUAACUCUGUGCCAGCAGCCGCGGUAAUACAGAGGCUGCCAGCGUUAUUAGGGUGUGCUGGGCGUAAAGGGUGCGCAGGCCGCGAAAUCCCGGAGCUUAACUCCGGAACUGCGCCUCAAACUACACAGCUAGAGCAUUGGAGAGGGAAGUGGAAUUCACGGUGUAGCAGUGAAAUGCGUAGAUAUCGUGAGGAACACCAGAGGCGAAGGCGACUUCCUGGACAAUUGCUGACGCUCAGGCACGAAAGCGUGGGGAGCAAAAGGGAUUAGAUACCCUAGUAGUC
rnacentral:rRNA from 1 species